AACGAACGCUGGCGGCAGGCUUAACACAUGCAAGUCGAACGCCCCGCAAGGGGAGUGGCAGACGGGUGAGUAACGCGUGGGAACAUACCCUUUCCUGCGGAAUAGCUCCGGGAAACUGGAAUUAAUACCGCAUACGCCCUACGGGGGAAAGAUUUAUCGGGGAAGGAUUGGCCCGCGUUGGAUUAGCUAGUUGGUGGGGUAAAGGCCUACCAAGGCGACGAUCCAUAGCUGGUCUGAGAGGAUGAUCAGCCACAUUGGGACUGAGACACGGCCCAAACUCGUAGGGGGGGGGGGGGGGGGGAAUAUGGAAGAAGGGCGGAAAGCUGGAAAAAGCAGGGCCGGGGAAGAAAGAAGGGCGUUGGGGUAGAAAGGUUUUUUCAAAGAAGAAGAAAAGGACGGAGGAGGGAAAAGAAGCCCCGGAAAACUUCGUG
rnacentral:rRNA from 1 species